rnacentral:rRNA from 1 species
UACCAGCAUCCCGAGUGGUCGGGACGAUUAUUGGGCCUAAAGCAUCCGUAGCCGGUCCUACAAGUCUUCCGUUAAAUCCACCUGCUUAACAGAUGGGCUGCGGAGGAUACUAUAGAGCUAGGAGGCGGGAGAGGCAAGCGGUACUUAGUGGGUAGGGGUAAAAUCCGUUGAUCCAUUGAAGACCACCAGUGGCGAAGGCGGCUUGCCAGAACGCACUCGACGGUGAGGGAUGAAAGCUGGGGGAGCAAACCGG